rnacentral:rRNA from 1 species
UACGGAGGGUGCAAGCGUUAUCCGGAUUCACUGGGUUUAAAGGGUGCGUAGGUGGGUUGGUAAGUCAGUGGUGAAAUCUCCGUGCUUAACAUGGAAACUGCCAUUGAUACUACUGAUCUUGAAUUUUCAGGAGGUAAGCGGAAUAUGUCAUGUAGCGGUGAAAUGCUUAGAUAUGACAUAGAACACCAAUUGCGAAGGCAGCUUACUACAGGAAUAUUGACACUGAUGCACGAAGGCGUGGGGAUCAAACAGG